rnacentral:rRNA from 1 species
CCUACGGGAGGCAGCAGUAGGGAAUAUUGCACAAUGGGCGCAAGCCUGAUGCAGCAACGCCGCGUGUGCGAAGAAGGCCUUCGGGUCGUAAAGCACUUUUCUGGAGGACGAGGGAGGACGGUACUCCAGGAAUAAGGAUCGGCUAACUACGUGCCAGCAGCCGCGGUAACACGUAGGAUCCGAGCGUUAUCCGAAUUUACUGGGCGUAAAGCGCGUGUAGGCGGUUGGGUAAGUUGGACGUGAAAUCUCCUGGCUCAACUGGGAGGGGUCGUUCAAGACUGCCGGACUAGAGGGCGGUAGAGGGAGGUGGAAUUCCCGGUGUAGUGGUGAAAUGCGUAGAUAUCGGGAGGAACACCAGUGGCGAAAGCGGCCUCCUGGGCCGCACCUGACGCUCAGACGCGAAAGCUAGGGGAGCGAACGGGAUUAGAUACCCCGGUAGUCCACGCUGUAAACGAUGAAUACUGGGUGUAGGCGGGGUUAGAGCCGUCUGUGCCGAAGCAAACGCGUUAAGUAUUCCGCCUGGGGAGUACGGCCGCAAGGCUAAAACUUAAAGGAAUUGACGG